AGCAGCCGCGGUAAUUCCAGCUCCAAUAGCGUAUAUUAAAGUUGUUGCAGUUAAAAGCUCGUAGUUGAAUUUCGGGAUUGACACAUCGGUCGUGCCUUAAGGGGUAUGAACUGGUGUAGUCAAUUUCUCACCUUCUGGAGAACCGCGAUGCCCUUAAUUGGGUGUCGCGGGGAACCAGGACCUUUACUUUGAAAAAUUAGAGUGUUUAAAGCAGGCAUUUUGCUUGAAUACAUUAGCAUGGAAUAAUAAAAUAGGACGGCAUGAUUCUAUUUUGUUGGUUUCUAGGAUCACCGUAAUGAUUAAUAGGGAUAGUUGGGGGCAUUAGUAUUCAAUUGUCAGAGGUGAAAUUCUUGGAUUUAUUGAAGACUAACUACUGCGAAAGCAUUUGCCAAGGAUGUUUUCAUUAAUCAAGAACGAAAGUUAGGGAUCGAAGACGAUCAGAUACCGU
rnacentral:misc_RNA from 1 species